AGAAUUGUAGCUUAAUGGUAAAGCAGAAUACUCAUAAUGUUUGGAUUAGGGUUCGAUUCCCUGCUAUUCUA
rnacentral:tRNA from 1 species